rnacentral:rRNA from 1 species
AUGAUGGCCGGUCAUAGUUUAGUAAAGAUUUUAAGUGGGUUUGCUUGGACUAUGCUAUUUCUGAAUAAUAUUUUCUAUUUCAUAGGAGAUCUUGGUCCCUUAUUUAUAGUUCUAGCAUUAACCGGUCUGGAAUUAGGUGUAGCUAUAUCACAAGCUCAUGUUUCUACGAUCUCAAUUUGUAUUUACUUGAAUGAUGCUACAAAUCUCCAUCAAAAUGAGUCAUUUCAUAAUUGA